UCGGCGCUUACUAAUGCAGAAUUCGAUUAUGUGCUGACUGUCCCUGAGAAAUAAGCUCUCCCCACCGCCAGGAAGCAUGUGGAAAGUCCAGAGUCAGCAGGUGGACAAUGGACGCUGAUGACAGCUGGGUCCCCAUGCAGGCAUCAAAAGGCAGCAGGAAAAGACCAUAAGCUUGGCAUUAGACACCUGAGGUGUGCCAAUCAGUGCUCCCUCGAGGAACGGAACCAACAGAAUGAGUCUGUAACAGAGGUGGGCAUCGGAGCUGCUUACGUGGCACAGGCCGGGUCAUCCAACAGUGGCUGCCUGUACGCUGAAGAGGCUGAGAAUGCAGCUGCUGUUCAGUCCUAAGACUGAAUGCUUCCACAGUCCUGGUUGGGUGCUGAAGAUCUGGAGGAUUCCGGAAGAGCUGCUGGUCUUUGUUCCAUAUUAGGAGGCCAAAGAAGUUAGGCUGUGAUGGCAGCGAAGAAUGGCCCCAGCAGCAACUAACCUCACUCACACCAGGGAGCAAGGGCAAGCAAGCGUGAAGGAUGCAGGAGUAAAGGAUCAUGGAUUCUGCCUCUGGAGUUUCAGAGAGCAACUGGGGCCAGCCAGUAUAUGACAUGAAGGCCCUUUGAGAGAGGAGCAGGCCAUGAGAGGCCAUUGAAUGAAUCUAUGAAGGCUGUUGAGAGUUAAAGAUAAUGUGUGUGAAAACGCCCCGGGCAGAAGGCAGGUGCUAUUAUUUGUAAUUUACUGAUGAAGAAACUGAGGAUUUGAGGCCUCGCUUGAGCGCCAGUCUGGAGUCCUGGGAAAGAUGGUUUCCAAAGAAAAUACCCAGGGCUCCCUUGAGCUCUGAAGAUGCCUUCAAAGGCCUCGCCAAACGAGAAUCACUGAUGGCAGAGCUCCCUUUUCCUGCCAGCGCGUGGAAAGGAAGCGUGGUGUUCCCUGUGUGUCAAUACGGAUUUAUUUUACACCUUUUCGGAUUUAAAUUCACACCAGAAAGCAUUACCCUGGAGUAUUUCAGCUGCAGACGGACCAGACAGGGAUAGGAAUGGGAUUCUCUUCUUCACAAAAGGCCAUGGAAAAGCCCCGAGAGCUUCAGCCAGGGACAAACCCUCAGCUCAGAUGACUCGGGGAGACAGGUGCCCAAGAAGAAACCAGACAUGCACAUGCACAGGGACAGUUCUGGGCCUGCUCCUUUGUUCCAGGGUGGACGGCUCUUAAAAAAAAAAGAAAGAAAAGAAAAGAAAAAGAAAAAGUAUUGCGUGUAUUUUAUGUGUAUGUGUUCCUGUGUUUGCGCAUGUGCACCCACGUGCCAUGUUGCGUGUGGAGGUCAGAGGACAACUUGCAGGAGCCUGUUCUCUCCUUCCACCAUAUAGGUUUCCUGGGAUCUAACUGAGGGUCAGGCUUGGCGGCAAGCCCCUUUGCCAUCCUCCAAAAGAUCGUUGUGGGACUCCCAAGUGGGCCUUCAGUGCCCUUUGAUGGAAAAGCAAAUUUCAGUGGCCAGGGAAGGUAAGACCUCUACUUUGGAAGGAGCAUACAUCACCCUGCACACGCGGAUGUGACAGAAGGAAAAUGUGGUAGGCAAAGUGAAAUGUCAGUAUUUGUUACCGAUGGAGUAAAGAUAGGGUUUCAGGCGAUUCCUCGUUUGUUUGCUUGUCUUGACACCCCUCCCCCCGUUUUCUGGCUAGUCGGUGAAGUUGCUUGUAGCGAGAACUGCAGCCAGAAGAGGACAGGGUUCUCCAGGAGCUGGAGAAGAGAGGGAACCCAGAAGCGACCCCAGCAGGGUGACAGUCUUUCUAGGUGCUUUCUAGGUGGAGAUGUCACCAGGAGGGCUUGUCCUGGGAGGACACGGCCCGCCCUCCUCCCCAGGCCGUGAAUCCAGGCUUGGAGUGGCCUGUGCGGGGAUCCGGGGUGUGGCCAAGGACAGCUGCCAGUGUGACCCGGGGCCUAUUGGCAGAUCGGAGUUGAAAGUGUGUUGGGCGUCUCUAGAGCGCUUUACUGGGCUUAGUUCCCAGGUUCACGGAAAGAGCCCGCACCGCCAGAGUCAUGGCCUCUGGGCUCGGACAGCGCCCCCUGUCGGUCUUCACGCGUUGUGGUCAGGACCGGAAGCCCCACGUCCUGUCCUACGGCAGCAGCCGCCUGCCCGCAGCUCGGCCGCCCUCUGCUGGCAGAAAGUCUGAACGACACUUGGCGUUUGCUGUGCCCUUGAAAACGGAGAAAGCUGGGCACAGCGGUGGGGAAAGGGGACGCCUGAGAGGGAGGACCUUGGUUACUCUCAAUGUCUUUGUGGGGCUUUCGAGGAGCACGACAAGAUGACUACCCGUCCCAGGGUCCCUCUAGGUCUGUGAGUGGCCUGCUGAACAAGCCCGGCUGGUGUGCCAAGCGCCCUGCAGUGGUGUGGGGGCGGGGAUGCAGGGGUGCGAUGGUCCUCAUCUGGAUGUCUUCGAAAAAGUGCUACAAACCGAGAGGCUUAAAUAUCAUAUUAUAUUCAGAAAUGAAUUACUUCCUAAUAUCGCUCUCUGAAGGCUCCAGGGAGGGUCACGGGCAGAACUAAAUUCGUCCCACAUGGCUUUAUCCCUGAGCCCACCUUGCGUGUCU